UGCGUAGGCGGAUUUAUAAGUCAGUGGUGAAAACCUGCAGCUUAACUGUAGAACUGCCAUUGAUACUGUUAGUCUUGAGUACGGUCAAGGUAGGCGGAAUGUGUAAUGUAGCGGUGAAAUACUUAGAUAUUACACAGAACACCGAUUGCGAAGGCAGCUUACUGGACCAUUACUGACGCUGAGGCACGAAGGCGUGGGGAGCGAACAGGAUUAGAUACCCUGGUAGUCC
rnacentral:rRNA from 1 species